rnacentral:rRNA from 1 species
AUUGAACGCUGGCGGAAUGCUUUACACAUGCAAGUCGAACGGCAGCACGGGUGCUUGCACCUGGUGGCGAGUGGCGAGCGGGUGAGUAAUACAUCGGAACGUACCCAGUUAUGGGGGAUAACUAACCGAAAGGUUAGCUAAUACCGCAUACGCCCUGAGGGGGAAAGCGGGGGACCGUAAGGCCUCGCGUAAUUGGAGCGGCCGAUGUCUGAUUAGCUAGUUGGUGAGGUAAAGGCUCACCAAGGCGACGAUCAGUAGCAGGUCUGAGAGGAUGAUCUGCCACACUGGAACUGAGACACGGUCCAGACUCCUACGGGAGGCAGCAGUGGGGAAUUUUGGACAAUGGGCGAAAGCCUGAUCCAGCCAUUCCGCGUGAGUGAAGAAGGCCUUCGGGUUGUAAAGCUCUUUCGGCAGGGAAGAAACGCUCUGGGAUAAUACUCCGGGGUAAUGACGGUACCUGAAGAAGAAGCACCGGCUAACUACGUGCCAGCCGCCGCAGUAA